CGGAGGUGGCUGCAGACUGCACCCCCUGUCCUGGGGGACACCACUGCCCCGAGCUGGGCACCGUCACCCCUCGAGCCUGUGGGGCUGGCAACUUCUCAGAGCCAGGCUCAGCCUCCUGCUGGCCCUGCAGAGUCGGGCACUUCUGUGCCAGUGACAACACCAGCCUGGAGGCGAUGCUGCUGGCCAUGGUGUGCCCGGCAGGGCUGCUGUGCCCGCGGGGACAGGCAGAGGUCCCAGAUGCCACUGCCAACGCCUGCCCACGGGGACACUUCUGUCCCCAGGGGGAUGCUGCUCAGCCUUGCCCCAACGGCACCUAUGGUGAGCAGAGGGGGCUGAGCAGUGCUGCUGGGUGCUCACCCUGCCCUGCAGGGAAGUUCUGCUACGCUGAUGGGACGGAGCCUCCAGGAAUUCCUCACCCUACAGGGGAUUGCCCAGCUGGUUACCUGUGCCCUCCAGGCACUGGAUUCCCCUUCUCCUUCCCCUGCAUGCCAGGCAGCUUCUGGGAUAACUCCAGCACCGAGGGAGGAGGGGUUUGCAAGCCAAGCCCAGCCGGGCACUUCUGUGACUCCCCUGCCCUGACACAGCCCAAGCCCUGCCCAGCAGUGAGUGGUUUUCCUUGCUUUCAUGGAAGAAGCUGCUCUGUGGGAUUUAUUUAACAGAAAAGCCU